CGCUAGCGGCAGGCUACACAUGCAAGUCGAGGGAGAAGCCCUUUCGGGGGCAGAAACCGGCGCACGGGUGCGUAACGCGUAUGCAACCUACCUUUCACAGGGAGAUAGCCCGAAGAAAUUUGGAUUAAUACCCCAUAAUAUUGUUGGAUGGCAUCAUCUGGCAAUUAAAACUGCGGUGGUGAAAGAUGGGCAUGCGUCCUAUUAGCUAGUUGGAGUGGUAACGGCACCCCAAGGCUACGAUAGGUAGGGGUCCUGAGAGGGAGAUCCCCCACACUGGUACUGAGACAGGGACCAGACUCCUACGGGAGGCAGCAGUGAGGAAUAUUGGUCAAUGGUCGGAAGACUGGACCAGCCAUGCCGCGUGCAGGAAGAAUGCCUUAUGGGUUGUAAACUGCUUUUAUAUGGGAAGAAUAAGGUGUACGAGUACAUUGAUGACGGUACCAUAUGAAUAAGCAUCGGCUAACUCCGUGCCAGCAGCCGCGGUAAUACGGAGGAUGCGAGCGUUAUUCGGAAUCAUUGGGUUUAAAGGGUCUGUAGGCGGGCUAUUAAGUCAGGGGUGAAAGGUUUCAGCUUAACUGAGAAAUUGCCUUUGAUACUGGUAGUCUUGAAUAUCUGUGAAGUUCUUGGAAUGUGUAGUGUAGCGGUGAAAUGCUUAGAUAUUACACAGAACACCGAUUGCGAAGGCAGGGGACUAACAGACAAUUGACGCUGAGAGACGAAAGCGUGGGGAGCGAACAGGAUUAGAUACCCUGGUAGUCCACGCUGUAAACGAUGGAUACUAGCUGUUUGGUGAUAAGCUGAGUGCUAAGCGAAAGUGAUAAGUAUC
rnacentral:rRNA from 1 species